rnacentral:rRNA from 1 species
GGCGUAAAGAGUUGCGUAGGUGGCAAAGUGUGUCUGAUGUGAAAGCCCUGGGCUCAACCUGGGAAUUGCAUUGGAUACUGGCGGGCUAGAGUGCGGUAGAGGAUGGCGGAAUUCCCGGUGUAGCAGUGAAAUGCGUAGAGAUCGGGAGGAACAUCCGUGGCGAAGGCGGCCAUCUGGACCAGCACUGACACUGAGGCACGAAAGCGUGGGGAGCAAACAG